rnacentral:rRNA from 1 species
UACGUAGGUGGCAAGCGUUAUCCGGAAUUACUGGGCGUAAAGCGCACGCAGGCGGUCUUUUAAGUUUGACGUGAAAGCUCCCGGCUUAACUGGGAGAGGUCGUUGAAGACUGGAAGACUUGAGGCAAUGAGAGGGGUGUAGAAUUCCCGGUGUAGUGGUGGAAUGCGUAGAUAUCGGGGGGAGUACCAGUGGCGAAAGCGGCACCCUAGCGUUAGCCUGACGCUCAUGUGCGAAAGCGUGGGGAGCGAACGGG